AGAGUUUGAUCAUGGCUCAGGACGAACGCUGGCGGCGUGCCUAACACAUGCAAGUCGAACGGACGAGAGGAGCUUGCUCCUCAAGUUAGUGGCGAACGGGUGAGUAACGCGUGAGCAACCUGCCUUUCAGAGGGGGACAACGGUUGGAAACGACCGCUAAUACCGCAUGAUGCAGCUGGGUCGCAUGAUCUGGCUGCCAAAGAUUUAUCGCUGAAAGAUGGGCUCGCGUCUGAUUAGAUAGUUGGUGAGGUAACGGCUCACCAAGGCAACGAUCAGUAGCCGACCUGAGAGGGUGAUCGGCCACAUUGGAACUGAGACACGGUCCAAACUCCUACGGGAGGCAGCAGUGGGGAAUAUUGCACAAUGGGCGAAAGCCUGAUGCAGCAACGCCGCGUGAAGGAUGAAGGUCUUCGGAUCGUAAACUUCUGUCCUUGGGGAAGAAGAAAGUGACGGUACCCAUGGAGGAAGCCCCGGCUAACUACGUGCCAGCAGCCGCGGUAAUACGUAGGGGGCGAGCGUUAUCCGGAAUUAUUGGGCGUAAAGAGUGCGUAGGUGGCUACCUAAGCGAGAGGUUUAAGGCUACGGCUUAACCGUAGUUCGCCUCCCGAACUGGGUGGCUUGAGUGCAGGAGGGGAAAGUGGAAUUCCCAGUGUAGCGGUGAAAUGCGUAGAUAUUGGGAAGAACAUCGGUGGCGAAGGCGACUUGCUGGCCAGUAACUGACGCUGAGGUGCGAAAGCCAGGGUAGCAAACGGGAUUAGAUACCCCGGUAGUCCUGGCCGUAAACGAUGAAUGCUAGGUGUGCGUGCAGAGAUGCASGUGUGCCGUAGUUAACGCGAUAAGCAUUCCGCCUGGGGAGUACGGUCGCAAGAUUGAAACUCAAAGGAAUUGACGGGGGCCCGCACAAGCGGUGGAGCACGUGGUUUAAUUCGAUGCAAACCGAAGAACCUUACCUGGGUUUGACAUGUAGGUGUUAGGAGCUGGAAACAGUGACGAAUCUGCCGCAAGGCAGAUAGCCUACACAGGUGCUGCAUGGCUGUCGUCAGCUCGUGUCGUGAGAUGUUGGGUUAAGUCCCGCAACGAGCGCAACCCCUGCGGCUAGUUGCCAUCAAUACGGUUGGGCACUCUAGCCGGACUGCCAUCGACAAGAUGGAGGAAGGUGGGGACGACGUCAAGUCAUCAUGGCCCUUAUGUCCAGGGCGACACACGUGCUACAAUGGACGGUACAGAGGGAAGCGAGACAGUGAUGUUGAGCGGAUCCCGAAAAGCCGUUCUCAGUUCGGAUUGAAGUCUGCAAUUCGACUUCAUGAAGCUGGAAUCGCUAGUAAUCGCAGAUCAGCCAAGCUGCGGUGAAUCCGUUCCCGGGCCUUGUACACACCGCCCGUCACACCACCCGAGCCGGGUGUACCCGAAGCCGGUGGCCUAACCGAAAGGGAGGAGUCGUCGAAGGUGUGUCUGGUGAGGGGGGUGAAGUCGUAACAAGGUAGCCGUA
rnacentral:rRNA from 1 species